rnacentral:rRNA from 1 species
AGGACGAACGCUGGCGGCGUGCUUAACACAUGCAAGUCGAGCGGUAAGGCCCUUUCGGGGGUACACGAGCGGCGAACGGGUGAGUAACACGUGAGCAAUCUGCCCUUCACUUCGGGAUAAGCCUCGGAAACGGGGUCUAAUACCGGAUAUGACUGCGCCAUGCAUGUGGUGUGGUGGAAAGUUCUGGCGGUGAGGGAUGAGCUCGCGGCCUAUCAGCUUGUUGGUGGGGUAAUGGCCUACCAAGGCUUCGACGGGUAGCCGGCCUGAGAGGGUCGACCGGCCACGACUGGGACUGACGACACGGCCCAGACCUCCGUACGGGAGCAGCA